GGGAGGCAGCAGUGGGGAAUUUUCCGCAAUGGGCGAAAGCCUGACGGAGCAACGCCGCGUGAGGGAUGAAGGUUUUCGGAUCGUAAACCUCUGUCUUCAGGGACGAUAAUGACGGUACCUGAGGAGGAAGCCACGGCUAACUACGUGCCAGCAGCCGCGGUAAUACGUAGGUGGCGAGCGUUGUCCGGAAUUACUGGGCGUAAAGGGCGUGUAGGCGGUCUGAUAAGUCAGACGUGAAAUCUCCAGGCUUAACCUGGAAACUGCGUUUGAAACUGUCGGACUUGAGGACCGGAGAGGGUAGUGGAAUUCCCAGUGUAGCGGUGAAAUGCGUAGAUAUUGGGAGGAACACCAGUGGCGAAGGCGACUACCUGGACGGCACCUGACGCUGAGGCGCGAAAGCUAGGGGAGCAAACGGGAUUAGAUACCCCGGU
rnacentral:rRNA from 1 species